AAGGAAUAUUGGACAAUGGGCGAAAGCCUGAUCCAGCCAUGCCGCGUGGAGGAAGAAGGCCCUCUGGGUCGUAAACUCCUUUUAUCCAGGGCUAAAAUGGGGCUAUACGCCGUAUUGAAGGUACUGGGGGAAUAAGCCACGGCUAACUACGUGCCAGCAGCCGCGGUAAUACGUAGGUGGCGAGCGUUGUCCGGAUUUAUUGGGUUUAAAGGGUGCGUAGGCGGCUUGUUAAGUCAGUGGUUAAAUCGUGUGGCUCAACCAUACUUCGCCAGUGAUACUGACAGGCUAGAAUAUGUCCGAGGAUGCUGGAAUGAGUGGUGUAGCGGUGAAAUGCAUAGAUAUCACUCAGAACACCGAUUGCGAAGGCAGGCAUCUGGGGCGUGAUUGACGCUGAGGCACGAAAGUGUGGGGAGCAAAC
rnacentral:rRNA from 1 species